AGAGUUUGAUCCUGGCUCAGAAUGAACGCUGGCGGCGUGCCUAACACAUGCAAGUCGAGCGGGAAAGUCCUCGGGAUGAGUACAGCGGCAGACGGGUGAGAAACGCGUGAGAAUUUACCGUUCAGUGAAGAAUACCCUCGAGAAAUCGAGGUUAAUACUGCAUACGUCCUACGGGAGAAAGGUGGCCUCUUGCUGCCGCU
rnacentral:rRNA from 1 species